rnacentral:rRNA from 1 species
CCCUUAGAUGUUCUGGGCUGCACGCGUGCUACAAUGGCGCUUGCAACAAGUCUUGCCAACCCGAUAGGGUGAGCGGAUCUUUGAAGAGGCGUCGUGAUCGGGACAGUUGAUUGCAAUUAUUCGACUCGAACGAGGAAUUCCUUGUAAUCGCGAUUCAUCAUAUCGCGCUGAAUACGUCCCUGCCCUUUGUACACACCGCCCGUCGCUCCUACCGAUUGAGCGAUCCGGUGAAUGUUUUGGACUGGCGUCAGAAACGGUUCGCUCCUGACACUACGAAAUUUUGUAAACCUUAUCGCUUAGAGGAAGGAAAAGUCGUAACA